GACGUAGGGCGCGAGCGUUGUCCGGAUUUAUUGGGCGUAAAGAGCUCGUAGGCGGCUUGUCGCGUCGACUGUGAAAACCCGUGGCUCAACCAUGUGGUCUGCAGUCGAUACGGGCAGGCUAGAAUUCGGUAGGGGAGACUGGAAUUCCCGGUGUAGCGGUGAAAUGCGCAGAUAUCGGGAAGAACACCCGUGGCUAAGGCGGCUCUCUAGUACGGUACUGACGCUGAGACGCGAAAGCGUGGGGAGCGAACAGG
rnacentral:rRNA from 1 species